CUUACAUAUUUCAGCAGCUACUAAGAGAAAAGGGAAGCGUACACCCCCAGCCGCACCCCCCGGUUCCGCUCCCUUGGCCUCCGCGUUGAGAUCACCACAGAUACUCUGCGGACAACGACGUACUCAUCACUCCUUUUCCAGUCGAAUAAAAGUGAAAAAACUGUCUUCUGGCCUUUCACUCGGUGUGUUUGAAGGGAAAGCAGCAGAGGGCAAAGUAAGGAGCAAAAAAGAAACGUAGGAACAAAGGAGCAACGAAGGAACAAAAGAGAAACGAAGUGUGCGCAAGCUUUUAGCGGCUCAAUCGAGUACAGCCGGUGUGCUGGUGUGGCCGUUUCUGACGGCACGGACGGAUUCAAGAGAGUCUGGUCGCGCAUCCUCAUCCCCUUUUCUCUUUUCCCGUAUUCACCCACGUACUCAGCGAGAUUCAUGGUUUGAGCUGUUUUCCCU
rnacentral:lncRNA from 1 species